rnacentral:rRNA from 1 species
GGCGUCUAAUACUGGAUAUGUGACGUGACCGCAUGGUCUGCGUUUGGAAAGAUUUUUCGGUUGGGGAUGGGCUCGCGGCCUAUCAGCUUGUUGGUGAGGUAAUGGCUCACCAAGGCGUCGACGGGUAGCCGGCCUGAGAGGGUGACCGGCCACACUGGGACUGAGACACGGCCCAGACUCCUACGGGAGGCAGCAGUGGGGAAUAUUGCACAAUGGGCGAAAGCCUGAUGCAGCAACGCCGCGUGAGGGAUGACGGCCUUCGGGUUGUAAACCUCUUUUAGCAGGGAAGAAGCGAAAGUGACGGUACCUGCAGAAAAAGCGCCGGCUAACUACGUGCCAGCAGCCGCGGUAAUACGUAGGGCGCAAGCGUUAUCCGGAAUUAUUGGGCGUAAAGAGCUCGUAGGCGGUUUGUCGCGUCUGCUGUGAAAUCCCGAGGCUCAACCUCGGGCCUGCAGUGGGUACGGGCAGACUAGAGUGCGGUAGGGGAGAUUGGAAUUCCUGGUGUA